UACGAAGGGGGCUAGCGUUGCUCGGAAUCACUGGGCGUAAAGGGUGCGUAGGCGGGUCUUUAAGUCAGGGGUGAAAUCCUGGAGCUCAACUCCAGAACUGCCUUUGAUACUGAAGAUCUUGAGUGCGGGAGAGGUGAGUGGAACUGCGAGUGUAGAGGUGAAAUUCGUAGAUAUUCGGAAGAACACCAGUGGCGAAGGCGACUUACUGGACACAUAUUGACGCUGAGGUGCGAAAGCGUGGGGAGCAAACAGG
rnacentral:rRNA from 1 species